CCCUGACACAUAUACACCAGAGGACUGCCUGAUCUGGUCUCAGUGAGAGAAGUUAUACCUAACCCUCUACAGACUUGAGUCUUCAUGAACUGGGGAGGCCUGGCAGCGGGGAUUGGGAGAAAAUAGAUCAAAAUCAGCAUGUCUUUGAAAGUCCUAGAGAGAAGAACACAAACAAAAGCCAUGAAGCCUACCAUAUACAAAACUAGCUUCAGAAGUAUCAAUGAAUAUGGAAUUCAGCAAGGUCUUGUAAACACAAGCCAGGUUAAGGCACAUCCCAGAGCCGAAUGUCUUAGCUCCUUUUCAAUAUUUCAGCACUUUUCCCCCAGGUUCCUUCUCAACACAGCUGUUUCGUCCCUUUCAUUUCUUUCUGUAACCUUUAUCUUCGCCCUUGCUGCUGUUCCCCAUCUCAUCUCCCACAAAGGAGCCUUUAUUUCUGUGUGUAAGUUCAGUUGCCGUAUGCUUCCUGUCAUUCAGAAUGAUGCUGUGCAUUGAGAUGAAGAUCUCUCUGAGAAGCUACCUGCCCGGGAUGGCGGGGUGAGAAAAGAGAGGGGAGGAUACAAAUAAUAGACAAACAUUUUCCUGUAAGUAACCAUGUUGGUGGCACGUUCAUGAGAACACAAGUUGUUAAGAGUGGAGUUCAGAAACUGAAAACUGAAGGGAAGAAGGGAAGGGCAUUAAAUGAGCUGUGGUCUACUGAUGAGAGAAAGAAAGUCAGGAUACUUGAAAAAGCCAUGAUCCAAGUAUUAAAGGCUCAAGAAGAAUCCAGUGAUCAACCCUUCAAAUCCACUGAAGGCCUCUUUGCAUAUUUUAAAAUGGGAAUGGUUCAAUUUGUUUUUAAGAGCUGCUUCUAAUACUUUCUGCCAAUGGUCGAUUGGCAGACCCCAACCUGGCAACAUUUUUUUUUCAAGCGACUAUUUGUUAUGUCUAGACACACCAACACAGCUUUCUACUGUUUUGGUUUUUUCACUCGUGCAGAGCAGAGGAUGGUGGUCUGAAUAGAUGAGCCUUGCUCUGUGUGUGGAGGGAUGCUGAGAUGAGAAGAGGUAGCCGGAUUUUAACGUGUUAAGCACAGAGGUGGUCCCGUGACAAUACUAAAUUGCUCAACAGACAACUAGUUACCCAAGAGGGAACCACUAAUGGGUGGUUACAUCCUUUAUCUUGGUAUGAAUAAUGCAUGAUCGCUGCAGCGACUAGGGCAACAUCAACAACCAUAUCAGAUGAGCCCGUUGCUCAGACGGAGCCAGCUCUGAGAUCCCGCUACUCAUCCUGUUUUUCUGGCAUGAUGUGCUGUGAUACUACAGACUCAGAGCAGCAGUGACAAGAGACCACAGAAUGGAAUUUUGACAUCACCCAGAAGAAAUGGCUUUCAAUCGACAAUACAAACCAUUUGGAUGUGUCCAUGGUGGAGAAGAGCCACAGUGUAAUUAUUAGCCUCAGAGAGCAAACUACAUUGCAACCACUACAGGAGCCAGAGCCCAGUGCCAGCUUGCUAUUCAUCCCUCCUAGAGUCAGUUUCGGGGAGAGUGUUCCAGGACUCUAUCUAAGAAGACACAAACAAACGACUUACUCAUUUUCUGUGUUCAAAGAUUUGAGAAGAAUACUGGAAGCAUCCUAAGAACCGCCUUAUUCAGAUUUCUGUUACUCCCCUUAAGAUGACACUUGUACUGGGAGUAUAAGAGCAUGCGGAGACUGUUUUGUCACUGACCUUGUCACACCUCACAGCACUUGAUCAUAACAGCCCUCUGGAACCAGCAUGGGUGGUAGCUGAAUUCCUUUAAAACUCCAUACAUUAAAAUGUAAACCAGUCAUCUGUCAAUAUCAAUGUCAAAGAUUCAAAUUUGAAUUAGACACAUCCCAUAGAAAGAACUAAAGGUUAGUGGUUCAUUUGGUAGUUUCCAGUGACCAAAUGUAUGACAUUGGAAAAGUCCCUUACAUUCCAGAGUCUUGUUUCCCUUAAUUGUAGCAUAAGAAUCUGAGCAGUCCUAAAUUCCAUAACUAUUAAAUUGAGUCCUGUGCAUGCAGUUCAGUAUUGCCCAUGAUAACCUAAGUUUUCUUCCUGAAAGGUGUGACUAUGUAGAGAGAAACAGACAAAUGUUCAAGUAAUAUUGGUGCAGAACAAGCUAGAAGAAACCAGAAGUUAAGGACAGGAAAAGAGUACGUCAGCUGUGGAGGUCUGUUUAGCAUGCACAAGGCCCUGGAUUCAAUCUUUAGCAUUGCAAAACAACACACAAACAAAACCAUUUAGUUGAACAAGCAAAUGAAUACAGGAAAUGCAGUGCAAAGGAAGAUUUAACUAAACUGUCCCCAGUUCUCAAAUUUCAGUUUCACACUGACCUUAAUUCAGUCUCAGAGAGCUGGGGACAGGAGCCCUUGGUGAUAGGGAAAGGUGAACAAGAAGAAGAAGAAGAAGAAGAAGAAGAAGAAGAAGAAGAAGAAGAAGAAGAAGAAGAAGAAGAAGAAGAAGAAGAAGAAGAAGAAGAGAACCAGAUUUAGAAAAGGGAGAUUGAGACAGACAGGAGUGAAAGCUAUAUUUACUUCCAAACGUCCUGAUAGUUUCAUUAAGUUUUAUGCCACUGAGCUCUAAAUUGCUUGAUGUUUUUGUUCCCUAAAUACUACAUAUGUUCUGAAAGUCCAUUAAAAGUGACAGAGUUUGGAACAAUGGAGUUAAAGCUAAAAUUGAGGAUUGAUAACUUUCACCUACAAAAUGAAAGCUAGACAGAACCUGAUGAUACAGGAUUCUGUAGAGAACAGAGGCUCACAGAGGCAGUGGUCGGUAGCGGGGGUGGAUGAACUGCAGGGGUAACAGACUGUCUCUGGAGAAAACGAAUUUUUUAACUUAUUUUUUAUUUAUUUAUUUUUUUUAGCAUGACCCCAGUCAAGUCUGAGACUGAAGGCAAAUUUGGUAUUUCCCAUCUACUUUUUAUACCAUUUUAAUUACAUGCAAGUAUUUUGGGUGAGCAGUACAAUAAGGAACUAACAAAGCCUUAAGUGAAUUCCUGUGAUUACUCCCAUGACAGUUGUUUAAAAGGGCUUGUCAUAAUGACUAAAAUACAUGAGCCCACUUCCUUGUCCAAGCCCAAACUCUUGCCUGAAGCCUAGUUCUUCUGUUCCACCCAAAGACUAAAAUUCCUGCCUUACCCUACUUCCCUAUUAUAGCCUAAAGUUAGAUUCUUGCUGAAAUUUACUUCCUUAUUAUGCCCUAAUAUAAGAUUCAUGAAUUUUAACCAUGUGCAACAGGAAGUCCCCAAGGUUGGUCUGAUUUGUGUAUCAGUACUAAGCAAGGAAUGAGGGUUGAGAGUCAGUGAGGGCUCCCUCAGGGCAUCAAGUAGGUAUAACUGGAGAGUGGUGUGGACAAUUUUAACAGGAAGAGAAAAAAUGACUCUAUGAUGGUCAGCCCAACUUGGGACACUCAUAUCACUGUCCUCUCCACCAAGGAUCAAGAAACUUACCUGCAAAGGGCAGAAAAAGUCUAAGAGCCAGAGGUGGUUAAUUACAUCAAUGAAACAUGUUUCCAGGAACAGCUGGGCAAGUGAACUUCUGAAUUUACCUUGAUUGUAGCAGGAGGUACAAGACCUGACCAAAGUCCACCCAGACAAAAUCCCAGCAUAGAGCUGCAAAAGGUGGACAGGAAAUCCAAUGACCAUCUGAGGAGCUACUGAUAUUUGAUCACUGUUGGGAGAGGGAGAGCCAGUUUUCUUUAGUCACAAGAUUCUCGGGAGGUUCUCUAUAUCCAAGGGUA